UACAGAGGUGGCAAGCGUUGUUCGGAAUUACUGGGCGUAAAGGGCGCGUAGGCGGCCUUCUAAGUUAGACGUGAAAUCCCCCGGCUUAACCUGGGAACUGCGUCUGAUACUGGGAGGCUCGAGUAUGGGAGAGGGAUGUAGAAUUCCAGGUGUAGCGGUGAAAUGCGUAGAUAUCUGGAGGAAUACCGGUGGCGAAGGCGGCAUCCUGGACCAUUACUGACGCUGAGGCGCGAAAGCUAGGGGAGCAAACGGG
rnacentral:rRNA from 1 species